rnacentral:ncRNA from 1 species
UGUCUUCGGGGCGGGGUGCAAUUCCCCACCGGUGGUGAAAGCCCACGAGCAGGGUUACCUGCUGAUCUGGUGUAAUUCCAGAGCCGACGGUACAGUCCGGAUGAAAGAAGAA